GAUGAACGCUAGCGGCAGGCUUAAUACAUGCAAGUCGAGGGGCAGCAGUUUUGUAGCAAUACAGAAGCUGGCGACCGGCAAACGGGUGCGGAACACGUACGCAACCUUCCUUUAACUGGAAGAUAGCCCAACGAAAGGUGGAUUAAUAUUCCAUAGUAUAUUGAAAAGGCAUCUUUUUGAUAUUAAAGCUCCGUCGGUUGAAGAUGGGCGUGCGUCUGAUUAGGUAGUUGGCGGGUUAAUGGCCCACCAAGCCCACGAUCAGUAGCUGAUGUGAGAGCAUGAUCAGCCACACGGGCACUGAGACACGGGCCCGACUCCUACGGGAGGCAGCAGUAAGGAAUAUUGGUCAAUGGACGCAAGUCUGAACCAGCCAUGCCGCGUGGAGGAUGAAGGCCCUCUGGGUUGUAAACUUCUUUUCUUUGGGACGAAACCCCUGUUUCUACGGGGACUGACGGUACCAGAGGAAUAAGCACCGGCUAACUCCGUGCCAGCCGCCGCGGUAAAAC
rnacentral:rRNA from 1 species